CUGAGGGUGAACUUGCAAUGGAGACAUGGGUUCAAAACCCACCUCCAAAAAUCACAAACCCAGUUUACUUUAACUUCUUUAUUGGGAAAUCACAGGUAAACAGUCAAAUAUAAGUUCCUUCUGGUGGUUCAACAAGAGACCUGUGGCUCACAGGUAAGAGCGCUGCCUCACGGUUCAGAGGUUGCUGGUUCAAUCCCAGCCAGGUCUCUGCGAUAUGAGUGAAUGGUGGAGUGUGUGUGAAGGCGCGCCCAAAGAAGGGGGAUAUCAUUACGGUCUCCCCCUGGAGCUUCGGGCACUGUGACCAGCAGCGGUUAUGCUUUUGGACAGACGAAAAAAAAAAUAAAAAAUUAAAGCUGCAUUAAAAACUCUCAUCCCCC
ensembl:lncRNA